ensembl:misc_RNA
AGCACUGCCCUGAAAAGUGAAAUCCACUGUUUAUCCACAGAACAGGGGUAGCACGGGCAGUUGCACUGCAAGUUUCCCCGGCAUUGCCCUGCUAAUGUGCCUUAACCUUGCCCUGGAGGAACCUCUUUUAGAGCGGAUGGAGUGGUUCAGUCUGCGUGUUCAGUCACUCUUUAGCCUCU